UACGUAGGGUGCAAGCGUUGUCCGGAAUUAUUGGGCGUAAAGAGUUCGUAGGCGGCAUUGCAAGUAGGGUGUGAAAGCCCUCGGCUCAACCGAGGAAUUGCGCUCUAAACUGCAGUGCUUGAGGAACCUAGAGGUGAGCAGAACAGAUGGUGGAGCGGUGAAAUGCGUUGAUAUCAUCUGGAAUACCGGAGGCGAAGGCGGCUCACUGGGAGUUUUCUGACGCUGAGGAACGAAAGCCAGGGUAGCGAACGGG
rnacentral:rRNA from 1 species